UGCCAUUUGGAAACACAAAUCACAAUAAAAAAAAGUCCAUUUCCAAAUAUUUCCUUUCCCAAAACCAGAUCCUUAUGGCUCUUAAAAUCAGAAGCAUUCGACAAUGGCUUGAAAAACACCACUAUCUAUUUUCUCCUAUUGACUCUUACUUCCUUUCACUACUGCUUUCCCCGGUAAGUGUGCAGCCCAACAUUACCUUGAACUUGAUUCUCAUUGCACAGUACCAGAGAUACUCCCCCCAACCGUUCCCUGCCAAUAUUUCUCCGCCGCCUCCUUUACGAAAUUUGGCACCUUAUCAAGAAGAUAAGUAUUCCUUUCCCCCUUUAAUCCUUCAAUGGCCAAAAGAUGACCCACUUGGUUCCCCUACCUCUGAAUAUUUUCUUUAUCACCGUAAGUGAACCGCCUUUGAUCAUCGCAUCUUGAAACCCAAAAUCAAUGCCCAAUCACAUUACUUAGAGACAUGCAAUAGCUACCGCAGCGAAACCCAUUGGGAGUGAGUUUGAAAAGCCCCAUCAAAAUUUAUCUUUAUGAAAGCGUUCUCUGGAGGCCUCCAUCCUACAAUCUCAACUCUGGAACCCACGCAUCUAUCCAAACAUUAAUUUUGGAACCAGUACCCAUGCGCCAGCACAAACCGUCUUGAAGUAAUCCCUUUGCAGACGAUAUAUUCUUCUAGGUAUAAGAUGUGUAAGCUCCCAAGUUUGAACUCAUGAAAUCCGACUUCGGAUAAUACUUUGCUUUUAGCGAUCUUACUAACAACAUGUUUGUAUUAGUCAUUAAAUGCCAACAUUGCUCUGCCAGAAGCGCCAAAUUAAACUUCGUUAAACUUUGAAAA